rnacentral:rRNA from 1 species
UACGUAGGGUGCAAGCGUUGUCCGGAAUUAUUGGGCGUAAAGAGCUCGUAGGCGGUCUGUCGCGUCUGCUGUGAAAACUCGGGGCUUAACCCCGGGCCUGCAGUGGGUACGGGCAGACUAGAGUGCGGUAGGGGAGACUGGAAUUCCUGGUGUAGCGGUGUAAUGCGCAGAUAUCAGGAGGAACACCGGUGGCGAAGGCGGGUCUCUGGGCCGUAACUGACGCUGAGGAGCGAAAGCGUGGGGAGCGAACAGG